rnacentral:lncRNA from 1 species
UUUUUUUUUUUUUUUUUUGUUAUUUAUCUUACUUUUAUAGUGUGUGUGUAUAUAUAUAUAUAUAUAUCCAAAUAGAUACAUAAAAGAAAUUUGGGGCUAGUAAAUCAGAGGUCCUAGGCAGUCGCCUUACUCAGCUUCCCUCAAGGCUAGCCCUAUGUCACUAUAAGAGCAUUUCCAACUGUUGCUUAUAAGCAAGGGCAAAGGCAAUGCAAUUGCCCAAAACACCUCCAACAGGACAAUAAAAGAAAUAAAGGCAAGUGGUGGACCAAGCCAUGCUAGCCCAAAUGCCCAUGUAAGUUAAGCAUUGCCUUCCUCAACAGGCAUGGCUGACUCAGCCACGGUCUUUACGUUUUUUCCAAUUUGUAACACAUGUCCAAAAUCAGGGUGUGAGCCAACAAAACCUGCAAUAGUAGGCCUUGUUGCAACACUAAUUGAAGAGCCUAACGGCUCUAUGACGUGGCACGAUGAGAGCCGUUGGAUUUCCAACAACCUGAUGAUCUGGACUAUUGGAUUUUCAAUGGUAAAGAAUUUAAAAAGUUAUCGAUGCACCAUGUUGCACGUUCUAGUGCGUCAGAUUCAACAAUAAAAAAAAUCAAACGGUCAGGAGUAAUUUGAUUGUUAAAAAUGGAAGGAAAAAAAGAAGAAGAUGGCGAUGCAACAAAUACGGAAGAAGAUUCAUACACAAUUUGUCGAGCUGAUUCAACGCAUAUCCAGGUCUGAGCUAUCUCUAUUGAGUAUAUGCAAACAUCUAAGUAAGUCAACAUAGAGAGUUAAAAUCUGGGCAAGAAGCCCUCACAAAAGCAUAAUCUAUUUAUCAAAAUGGCAAUAAUAUAGCCAAUAAGGUAAUAACAUUUUAUUAUUAAUAAAUUUCAAAUGUGAUUAACAUGUUAUUAUUUGGACCAUCAGGUAAUUAAAAGUAAUCAUUGAUUAUGUAAUUUAUAAUGUUGUUUCAUAAUUCUUUGCUUUGCAUUUGAAAUUAAAUUAUUAGAGUUAAACAUGGAGUUUUACUUUCAAAGAACAAACUUACAAAGUGCACACUUAAACACUUACAAGGCAUAUAUAAAUAAAUAAUAUAUAUUUGUGAAUAAUAAUCGCCCUUAUCUGCGACAACUCGUCCUUAAUUUUAAGUUUUAUAAAUUUUAAAAUAGUGAUUUUAUGAAAAUGCCCUUAGAGGCAAGGAUGUUUGACUUUCGUUGACCAUUCGAAGUCACAAUUAAUGUUUCCGAAUAGAUUUUGAAGCUACGAACGCAUAGGCAAAAGCCGUUUGCGAGUUCGGAUUAUAACAGUAUAGUUACGGACAUUUGAAGUCGUUUCAUUAAACAAUAGAUUUAAAGGAAUAUAAACUCCCACCUUGUGGGAAAGAGGCCAUUCAGGCUAAAGGGAAGGAACCAAUCAGUUAAAUGGUGGAGGACCAAUCAGAAUUUAGGGGGGAGUGAGCAACCAAUCAAAGAGAAGGAGGAAAAAAAAGAAAAGAAAUGAAGCUUUCCUUCUCGACGACUUGUGCACCUGCACAGGGCUCAACCAAUUCCGCCAACUUUCGCCAUUUUCCCCAUCAAACCGCCAUCAUCCAACACCUGCAAUCCUUUCCACAACCUCCCCUCUACCAUCUCCACCCAAAUUCGAAGGUUUUUAAGUCCAAAACCGUGUAGAACCUCACCGGAGCACCGGAGGUGCUUGACGGUGAUUCCUCCGAUCCAGUGAGUUUCACCACCCACCACUACCCUUAAUCAACUCCCCUUAGACCCAGGAAUAAGAUCCAACCAGUGAUAGGGGCGUUGGAACACCGGCAAAGUCGAAUCGAUGAACACCUAUUAUAGGGUUUCAGACGGGUUCGUGGCGAUUUGAGGUUUUUUCGGCCAAAUUGGACUUGGCCACAUAUAUAAAACUUGCUCUACUCAUUGAGAUCUUCAUUUAAUUGAAAUUUGAGAAUUUUUAGAAAUAGUUUAUUUUUCCGGCGAGUUGGGACGGUCGACUGUCGUUUGCAGCGGCAUGUGGGCCGAGGCACCCCCUAACCUUCCUAAGCUAAGUUUGAUACCCCAAUUCCAUAUGUGAAGUCAGAUUGAUGAAAUCUCAUCGUUUGAACAUAGUUUUGAUAGAGACCGCUACUUGAUCCUUGUAUGAAUUGACGAACCGACCGUUGGAUCAUCACCAAAAUUUAAUAUAUUAUAGUAUGUAAUAUUUUAGGAUAUUAGAAACUUACGGAUUGGGAAUCCAACUUAUGGAUCUUCCUAAAAUGGAUUUGUAAGUUCGUAAAAUAAAACGUUGACCGCCACUUGAAUUUGCAAUUGGUGGAGAUCCAACCAUUGGAUCGUAAUGAAACUUUAGUAUGAUGUUCUAGAAGCAUAAUGUGGAUCUUUUGAAGUUACGGAUCAAAAAUCUAAGUUGCGGAUCUUCCGGAUUGAGUUACGUAGGAUUAUGGACCCUACCGCCAACCUUUGACCGAUGAUUGAAUUUUGGUCAAUGGGUUUCAAAUCAUUCUAGAACGUCCUUAGGGGAUGUGUUUUAUGUAAGUUACGUGUUCUAUCGAUAAGAAUUCUAAGACGUUAUUUGAUAUUUAUUCUAGGCGACGAUUGUUCGUGAUGCCUCGAUAUUCGUGCUAGGGAGUUGUAGCCCGGACCUCAGGUGAGUGGGUCUUUUUCUUUUUAUAGUGUAUAGAUAGAUAUAUAUAUAUAUACACACACACACACACACACAUAUAUAUAUAUAUGGUUGAUAGUUUCCACAAAUGAUUUUGAAUUGAUUUAUGCAUAUCAUGCUAUGAUUAAAUAUUGUUAUUAAAAACUUUGCAUUGUUAUGAAAUUGUGAAAUGCCAAACGAUCCUACGGGAUGCGCAGGUUUGAUCAGGUGAGUUUAAUUUGUGAUUGGAAUUGUUGCACCAUAUUGGCAUGCAUAAAUUCAUUUAGUGCUCAUCAUUGUUGCACCCCAGUGUUAGUCAUCCUGUCCUGGGCCAGGGCACAGCCUUCACGUGUAUGUUCACCUCCCGCAUCGCACACUUACCUUGGAUCCAAGUAGGUGCUAGCCUAUCGUAUAGACUCGAUUAGGCAGUUUGAUGCGAAAAUUAACUUAACACACAAAUUAAACCCUCUUGUUGUCAAAUUGUAGUAAUAAUGCAAGUAUGGAUCGUUCUAAACCGAGGAUUAUGAGGGCUUGCUAAAACCUCUAAACUAACUCAAAAACAUAAAAACAAAGUUAAAAACAUUUGAAUAGACUUAAAGAACUCAAAACAGGUUCACAAGACUCAAAAUAAUUUAAAGACACUCGAAACUGCCUAAAAACACAAACUAGGCAGUUUCUGACUCUAACACAACUUUGGACGAAAUUUGGGUUUUGACUUGACUCAGAACACUCUAAAACACAAACAAAACAUAUUUUAAACACUUUGAAACAAGAAAGUAAAAGGGGGAUUUAGUUUUGAUGAAUUUGAAACAAAUAAACAAGUUAUAAAACUAGGCAGAUUGUAAAACGAAUUUAAGAAAUAAGAUAAUGGAUGGAUUAGUUAGAGGUCCGUUCUUCACACAUGACACACUUGUAUAUGAAUUGAUUUCCAAUUGCUUUUCAAUAAACUAUGAUGCUCAACACCCCAGAUUAAUUAGAUACGCUUAAAUUAAUCCUCAGAUUUUCCUAAUUUCAUUGAAUUGGAUGAUUGCAUACAACAACCCAAAGCAUUCCCCACAAGUUCCCUACAUGAAUUGCAUAAUAGAGAUACAAGCAAGAAUCAUUAAGUUCUAUGAAAAUCAUAAGCAUUGACGAAACACUUGUAACUAUGAAUUGCAUGAAACUUAUGCCAAGAAUUCAAUUAACGCGAUUGUGAUAAACAACCUUCACUACUCAUGAAUAUAAACUUGUAACGAUUAGGUGAAACUCAUUUAUAUUCUAGCAUCUAAUUCAUGCAUGAAAACUAAGUAUGCAUGAAAACUAAGUAUGCAUCCUUAAAUAACAUACAAGAAUCAGUUAUGAAUAAAAUAGAUAAUUGAAUUGCAAUCACAACUUAUCAAAUCACAAUUGGAAGAAAUCAAUUUAAAUCUCAAGCAUGUUCAUGGCUUCAAACUUCCCCCUAACUAAAUAGUGGUUUAGCCACUCAUAAUUGCAACAAAAUUAGAAAAUAACAAAGUAGACAUUGAAAGCAAGAACGAAGUACACCUAAAACGCUCCAAAGUUCCAAGCUUGAAACGCCAAGGGCCUUUGUUUUCACCACCUUGUUGUAGCAUAAGUGUCUAGGAUGUGUAUGGAUAUAUGGAUAGAAUGGAUUUGCAUGACAUAGAAAAUGGAAAUGUAUGGAGAUGUGUUUGAAUGUAUGGAUGAAAUGGAAUGGAGCUCAAGGCAAGGGACUUGUGUUUGUGAAUGAAGCUCUUUUGAUGGAUCAAGAUUGUCGUUCUUUGGAAGGGGGGUGGUGGAUGUAUUUAUAGGCUAGGGAGAGGACCACUCCAUUUCCUUUGCAUGUGCAGAUUGCAUGGGUGUGUGCUGUCCAUGUUUCUCCUUUCCUUUUCCACCCAUUUUCUGAACCUUUCAGUGUUACAAUGCCCAUAACCUCUUCUAGAAAAAUGAUAUUAACAAUCCGUAAAUUGUUCUAGAAAAUAGACAUCCGUAGCUUUCCAGGCAUAUAAGGCUCAUUCUCUCAUUCAUUAUACGAUGUUCGUAACAUGCUUUCAAAGUCAGCUAAUCUGCACAGGCAGUUUUGACGAAUUUGUUGGCUGUCCAUGUUUCUCCUUUCCUUUGCAUGUGGUUGUGUCUUCUCUUUCUAGCUGUGCAUUUCCACUUGAUCCAAAGCCAAAUGAGUGCAAUCAUAACCCCAUUUGCUGCUGAGUGUUGAUGACAAAGCAAAACACAAAACAAGUGCCUUUACUUUCUCAUUUUAUUAGCCAAAUCCGCUUAGCCCUUUUCUAAACCUUUAAGUGUUACAAUGCCCAUAACUUCUUCUAGAAAAAUGAUAUUAACAAUCCGUAAAUUUCUCCAGAAAAUAGACAUCCGUAGCUUUCCAGCCAUAUAAGGAUCAUUUUCUCAUUCAUUAUGAGAUGUUCGUAACAUGCUUCCAAAGUCAGCUAAUCUGCACAGGCAGUUUUGACGAAUUUGUUGGUUGUCCAUGUUUCUUCUUUCCUUUUGCACACACAUGCUUCAUCAUUUCAGCCAAAUCAACACAUGUUCUCCAUCACAUGGCAGCUAUGAUGUUUGUUAGUUGUAGGUCACACACUUGCACACACAUAUGUUGAAUUCUAAUCUUCCCAAAACGUCCAUCCUCAUGUCUCCAAGUGCAUGCAAUCCAUUUCAGCCCAAAAUUGCUCCAAAAUGCACCAAAAUGCACUUUUCUUGCCAACUUUGUUAUUAGGACCUAACAACAUACGAAAAUGGCUUAAAACACUCUUAUAAGCAAUAACUAACUAAGUAAGUGCAAGAAAACAUGUUAACUAAGUCGCAUAAAUAUGCUCCUAUCACAGUUCCGACUCAUAGAUGACCCACGAUUUAUCGCUAGCCAUCACGUGAUCAUAGGACUAAAGCGUAUAUAUUUACACCCAGCUUGUCGUACAGGUCACACUAGGUGACUCCGACUCGUGUGCUAGCAUAGACUGAUGAGCAAUAGGUCCAUUCAUACAUGUCACAUUAGGUGACUCCAACUGGCACGCUAGUUGAUUAUUCACACCUGACUUACAUUUAUUUUUAUUGAGAUAUUGUGACAUGGCAUGCUUUUGUUGUCACUGCUUUUAUGCAUUGGUUCUUUAUGUUUACGUAGUGUUAUUUUCUGGAAACUAUACAUGUUUUACGGCAAGGGGUUAUAAUGUUUUCAUUGAAACUUUAUUUUUAGGCCCACUCAUCCUUGUUUUUCAUCCCUCCAGGUUUUAGCAGCAGAACUUUGUAUCGACGAGGAUUCUUGGCAAUUCUCAAUAUAGGUGGCUACCUUUGAGGGUAUAAUCAUUAUCCUAUCUUACUGUAUUUCACUUAUGCUCUGACAUCACGUGUGAAAUGGGUUCAUUCUCGCUCAUCGCGCACUCUUGUAUUUAGGCACUUUUAGGUUUAAAUUUAUUCACAUUUUCCAUCACACUACACUUUAUAACUUCGUCACCUUCCAGGUGUCGGCCAGCACAACAUGAUUUGGAGUCCAAGUAGACAUUCCGGAUCGAGGUGUGUCAUUAUCCUUGUUGAUCUAGUGGAGUUACACAAUGACAAUUACUUUCCAAAAGGGCAAUUGCCUUACUCCAACGAGUGUAACUGCUCUAAAGUAUCUCAUUUAGCAUAAAGAAUUAUGAGUAAAUGGGCUUAAACUUUGGUGCUCUCAAGUAGUCCAAAGUCUCAAUUAAAGAGCUUUUCAUAGGGUUUAUAGAGAUUGGCAACCUUCCACAAAUCAACUCCUCUUAAAUCGUAUGUAUUGGUUCCAUAUGAACUUGGUUGGUGUAAGGUUUAAACAAACGUUUUCGAAUGAUUCAUGUCUAUGUAGCCAUUUGCAAUUCACCUCAAUCAUUUAAUCAUUUCAAAUUCCUCUAUUUAAUAUUGCACAAUGCAUUUCUAACUAAAGUAGCCUAAAUUCAUUGGUAUUUGAUAACCUUCAUUCAAAUACAAUAAUAAAUCUAGUAUUGUCUCUAGCAUUGGUUUUAGCCUUCGGGUCUUUCACGUGAGAAGCAGUUAUAUGAGACGGGUUCAUCAUUACAUGAUUUUUUUUUAUCUAAUAAUGUGUUGUUAUGUAAAAGUUUUUCUUUACAUGGCAACAUAUUAUUAUAUUGAGACAUCAUGUCAUGUAACAGUAAACUCAUUUCAUAUAAAUUGCUCAUUUUUUUUACUCCAUUAUCCUUUUUCGCUUGGGCACCAUAAAGAAGUCAUCCAAUGAUCGAUGAUCAUAAAAAUUAAUAAAAAGAUAAUCUUUAGAAUUAAAGUGGAAUUUGAAAUGGAAUCAAAUUUGAAUUGAGAUCCAAACCUUCGUAUUAAACUAGAACAAGUUCACUAAAUAAAGGUGAGGCCAACCACCAACCAAUAUUUAUACAAAAAUAAUCGCAUUCCACUCCGACCCUACCGAAUUCUUCAGGCCAUUAACCACCAUUGAAUAAACAGUACAGAAAAUCAUAAAGUAAUUAUGCUCUUAAACCGAAAAGAAAUCGAGAGUAAUUAAUAAUUAGUGCCAAGAUAUCAUUAAUAUUAUUUUUAAGGAUUCGGACGCGUAUAGUGAUAUAUUCUAUCAUUACGUCUCUCAGAUUCCGCAUCGAUUGGUGCGAGAUAUUCUAUCGUCAAUGUUUCUCGGACACUUUCUUGUUAAACCCAUUUACUACAACUAGGGAUUAAAUUUUUUGCCAAAUUACCAACCAUAUUAUACUAAAGUUCUGUAAAAAAAUUUGUAUCAUUGGUAAUGAUACGAUAUUUGUAUCGUACCAUACAUUUUUGGAAGAUAAUAGUAUUCAAAAUCAUUACCAAUUAUAUACCAUACUGUAACACUACUAUUAAUAUUAUAUAAUUUAUUUAUUCAUUUAUAUAUAUUUACGUAUUAUUAUAAUUAUAUAUGCACUUUAUAUUUUUUUUCCUAGUCAUUUAUCCAAUCAUCUCACAUUCUAACCUCUACUUUCCCAAUAAAAAAACAUAAGCCUUCUUACGCUGCGACUCUUCAUCUUUUCACUCAUCUAGCCACCGACUUCAUCUAUGUUGCUCUAGUUUCGGCGACUGUCUCUCCGGAGUCCACCUCAUCUUCUCCUUUAUCAAAUUGGGAUGUCUUUCUCCCUGGCUUUGUCUAUCAAGUUAAUUUUUGUUUAAUUUUAAAGAAUGUAAAGAUGAAAUUUAAGAAUCUUUGUACUAUUUUUUUAGGGAUAUUGGGUUCUUUGAGCAAUUCUUCCAUCUGUUUACUUCUUUGUUUCUUUAAUGAAUCUUUAUAAAAUUCUCAUAAUUAAAUAAAAAAGUUUUAGAAACCCAAAAGGAGUGACCCAAACACGUUUGGGCCUUGAAUUGGGUUGGAAAAAAAAUCAAAUUUUGGCCCAAAAGAAUGACCCAAAACAAAGUGGUAAUUACCAUUACCAUAUCAUGUCAACCGAACUAUUUGGCAUGCCGAAAUUUGGUAUAUCGAAAGUUUGGCACAGUAAUGAUAAUAGAUUUUAUCAUACCAAAAGUUUGGUACGGUAAUUGAUACAUGGGUUUUGGUACGAUAAUUGUACCAAUACCACCCCUAACUACAACUAUCCAAUCAAAGACUAAUCCCGUUUCAUGAGAGAAUUAUGACUAAUAUCAAUUUCACGAGAAAUUUUUCAAGGUGACAGGAACCCACAUAACCAUGGACACUUUAUGUAUCCAUUUAAUCGGAGGAUGUCACAUGCCUAACCGAAGAAUCUACCUAAUUUAUUUUUAAUGAAAUUACGCUGUCUGUUCUAUUAAUAAAUCCACAAGGUUUAUCUUUUAAAAUGUUAAUUAAAUUAGAACUAAAACAGAAAAAUAAAAAUAAAAAUCUCCAAUCCAAAUAACCCCGUCCCCGGCGAGACACACCACCCCCGAUCCCACCACCACCACCUCUGAUCCCGUUCAAAUCUGGUACCGCCACCACCUCCCUCUCUUGCUCUUCCUCAUAGACGAACAAUAACAGGCACAGUGGCAGACGUCGACGCUAUUCUACCCCUCCCCGAACCCAUGCGGACCAUCUUCCUCAUUGUCAUCUUCAUCAGCAUGAUUUUCAAGUUUUUCUUUGACGUGCUAUCUUUGCUUCUUGUUGGGUUUUUUUGUAAGAUGUAAUCUGAAAAUCAACAAGUUACUAGGAUUACAGAUAUAACAAAUAUAACUACAAUAAAUCAAUCAAACAAUUAAAGGGAAAUAAACUUAUCUUCCAAAGCAGAGGAAGAAGACGCUAUGACUGCUAGGGUUUCAUAGGUUGUCUUCUACUUCCAGUACUUCAAAAUGUCUCUCUACCGUGAAUAGGGUUUGGCAUGAUUGAGAGUACAAGCAUAUGGAAGCAGGAACUUAACUGUGGUAUUUAUAUCAUUAGGGUUUUCAUCACAUCCGACCUAUCAUUGGCUAUGAAGAUCUACCCUAUCUCUCUAGUAUUUAAGUCCCACCAUGAUACGAUACCUUUGUAAUAAAUCUAUCAGAUUUCCUCUAGGUUAAUUGCAAGGGACAAGACUCCAUAAUCCUUAUUAGGUUAGGACUAUCGGAUCACUUUGGUUGCUAACCACUCGAUAGACAAUUGGCUUACAACAAAAAGAUCCAAUACAACAUUCAUUGUCAUUCACAAUCUUAUAUUCUCCCACUUGAAUGUCAAUAAUUCAUCCUAACAAAAUAAGAACUCAUUGUGAUCACUGAGUCUUCAUAAGUAUGCAAUAACCUUUCCUAGCAACCUGUCACUUUGAAUCGAAUGCCGAACCAAAGAAAAACAAAGAACAACUUGGUCUGUUCCUUGCACUCCAAGAUCACAUACACAUUCAACUUAAAGCACUUUGUUGCUAACAAAGUCAUGGUGUCAAGAGCUAAUAGUCAAAACAUUAGCUCACAAUAGUCAAACUGAAAAUAUGAAAAUAUAUUUCAGUACAAAAGUAGUUCACAAAAGAACUCAACAACGUUGGUAACAACAUCCAACUUCUCUGUCAAUUUAGAAUAUGAUAAGAGAACAAGUAAAAUAUGACAUACUAUUUACAAAAUCAGAACCUCUUAUUAAAACUUAUGAACAAAACUUAAACAAAAUUUACUCUUAAAAUAUCAGCCACUAACACUUCAAAAUUUUAACACAAAAGGUAAUCUCUUACUCCCACUGAUUAGUAGAGAUAAACAAAUUAUUACUCCCACUGAUUAAGAGAGUAAAAAAAACUUUAUAAAUGCCUAUAAAAUGAAACUGACACCUUUCAAAUACUCCCAUUAGCAAAACAUUAGUCAUGGGAUCUAAAACAUAAAAUUUGUGAGCUCAACAUCUUUAUUUUAGAUAUUUGUAGGGAAGUGAUUCUCGUGACUGAAAAACUAUACAAAAUUAUUUGGUCAGUUUUGUUCAUCUAACAAUUGACAGAAAUAGAAAACUUUAACUGAAUGUUUUCUAAUGCAUCAAAAGCAUAUAAUUCUAGAAUCAUCUUUGGAUAGAAACUAAUUAUAUUAGGUUUGUAUAGCUAAAACAUAAAAUACAAGGGCAAAUGUAUAUAGCUUCAACACUUUUGAGCAGAUGAAGUAUAUGCAAUCUUGUCAAUUUCAUGUUUCACCAUACAUUGAUUUAUAGUUGUACUGAAAAAGAAAACACUUUUGAGCAGAUUAAUUAUUCAUCAAUAACAUAUAAAUCACAAGUCCAAUUUCUUGAACAACAUACAAGAAUUAAUAAGCAAAACACUUUUGAGCAGAAUAUACUCAUUAACCCUUCUUGAAUUUCCUACAAGAUUAGUUGCAUAUAUAACAAAUAAAAUAUAAAUAAGUAUGAUAAUGUACGUUUUAUCUACCAAAACUAUGACCAUUAAAAGCAUGCAAAAUUGAUGAGUGUGAAGCCCAUAAUACAUUAUUUCUCCCACUUGGGCAAACACUCAAAAUUGCAAGAUUAAACACUAGAGAAAGUGAUUUUCAUUUAACAAAAUAUAUGCAAGUUGAAUCAAUCAAGAUCAAAUACAUAAUUUUUUUUUUUAAAGUAGGUUAGAAUUAAAAAGUUCCAUAAAUAAAAACUUAUGCAAUGACUACAAAUUUUAUUUUAUUUUAGUGUAUGAGAGAAGACUCACAUAUGUGUUAAAGAUUAGGUCAUCAAUUAAAAUGAAACCUAAUAAGAGAAUCUGUUGAUGCACAAAUAUCAGCGAGGACUUUGGUACAACAGAAAGUGUCAGGUUGUGACCUUCGCUUGGUUGCUUCGAUCACUUUUGAAGAUAAGUACGUAAAUGAAUAGGGACAGGGAAGCAAACACAAGAUGUACGUGGUUCACCCAGAUCGGCUACGUCCACGGAGUAGAGGAGUUCUCAUCUACGAUGCAUGGACACGGGGAAAACUCAACGUAUCCCGUAUCUGACACGCAGGGAUACGGAUACGUACAAAAUACGUAUGGAUACGCGCCCGAUACGUAUCGGAACGAAGGUAUACGUUCUUUAUUACCAAGAUACGCGUAUCAUAUUGUCGAGAUACGCGUAUCAUAUUUUUCGGAUACGUUUCAAGCAAAAUCAGAGGAUAAUCAGAAAAAAAAUCCAAUAGAUCCGCACAGAAUCGUGAUUGAUUCGAAUUAGAUAACUUAAACGAUUGUUUAACUAAAAACCAAAACGAUUUCGAACCUCAGAAAUCAGACUCAUCUGCAAUUGCUCCGUCCGUCCGUCGUCUCUAUCGUCUCCGUCUGCAACUGCUCCAUCGUCUCCAUCGUCUCCGUCUGCAACUCCUGGUGAGAGCCUUCGACUUUGUUUUCACUUUGUUAAUUUUGAAGCUCAAUCUGAUUGCAGAACCCCUCUGAAAUUGAAAGAAACAUGCUGCUCUGUUUUUAUUCGAAGCUAAAAGCCCCAUUUCUGCUUUAAGCCAUUGACUAAUUCAAUGUAUCUGUUAUGCAAAAUUGAAAAAGCCAAAACCCAAUUUUGCUUUCUGUAUAAUAUAUUAUUUUGAUCUUCGAAGAUCAAUCAAUGGGGUCAGAUGGUGUGCAAUCAGUAAUCACUUAUCUGUUAUACAAAAUAAUAUUAUAUACAAAAUACUCGUGCCCACUUUUGCUUUCUGUAUAUAAUAUUAUUUUGUAUUUUGUAUAUUAUAAAUAAUAUACUAUUGUGCUUUCAUGAUAUUUAGAUUAUAAUAUUUUAUGGAUUUCAUGAUGUAUUUUUUAAUCUCUUAAGUUAAUAUAAAUUUCUCGUGUAAUAGUCUCUGUCUAUACAGUGGAUUGACUCUUAUUGUUUAUAUAUUUGAUUCUUACAAUUUACAUGUUGAUAAUUUAGGAAAAUGAAUCAUCCUGAUAAUCAUGCGAAUGCUAAUGUCAACCUAGUUGAGAAUGUUGAAAAUGAUCAUGGUACACUAUGGAAGUAUGUCAAAAAGCUCGAAAGAGUGGAAAAUGGAAGAGGAGGUAGUGUGUUUCAAUGCAACUAUUGUCAAAAGAUUUUCAGAGGAUCUUACUCUAGGGUCAAGUUUCAUUUGUUAAAAGUGUCUGGAAAUGGGAUCGUCUCUUGCAAUAAGGUUACUGAUGAAGCUCUUGCAGAAAUGAAAAAGCUAGCUCAAGAAUGAGGGACUCUUUCUUUUUAUUUUUUAAGUCGUUUGGAUGUUCUUUUUAGUUUUUCAAGUUUGAAGACUAAUUUGUUUAGUGGAUUAUCUUUUAAAUGUUUGAAGUUUAUCGAAAUAAAUUUGAACUUGAAUAGUAUAUUUGAAUGCUUAUUUUAUAAUAUUUAGAUAUAUUUAUUUAUUUAUAUUAUUUUUAAUUGCCGUAUCCUUGCCGUAUCGUGUCUUCAUUUUUAGAAAUUUGACGUAUCCCCGUGUCGUGUCGUAUCGUAUCUCCGUAUCCGUGUCCGUGUCCAUGCAUCAUAGGUUCUCAUUAAUUGUGAAGGGUUUACACAAAUACAUAGGUUCAAGCUCUCAUUUUGUGAGUUCUAGUGAAUAGUUUAGUACAAAAUGACAUUAGAGAUUAUUGUGGGAGAAUGAUCCCUAUUUAUAGAAGAGAGUUUCUAGUUUUGUUCUAACAUUGACACGUGUUGUGUUGUGAUUGGCUUCUGAUGUUGACACAUGUCGAGCUGUGAUUGGCUUCUGAUGUCGACACGUGUCGCAUUGUGAUUGGCCUCCUGGUUGAAGGGAAGCUCUUCUGGUCCUUGACGGUAUAACGUUGACCGGUGCUCAGUAGUUUCGGGAUUGGUCAAGUAUGGUACAAACAAAAUCCAAACUCAAAAUUUAUGUUUUAAUUCUAAAACAAAGUCGAGUAAAAUAAACACUUAGAUAUCUCAACAACAACAAUUUUUUUUUUUUAAUAAUUUUAAUCCAAUUUAGAACUCACAGAAAAUUAAGGCAAAAGAUUGGCAAAUUUACCUACUCAUUCUUGAUUCUGCGAGAUUCAUCAUGGAAUUAGUCGAGUUGUGGAGGAUCGAACCAACUCCAAAUUGCAUGAUUGUUACACCUUCGGGCAGAAACUAAUCAUGCAAAGAAAAUACCUGCAUAGCUAGCCAAAACAUAAAAUACACAAAAUACAUAUAGCUUCAACAGCUUUGGCCAGAUGAAAAUAUGUUAGAAGUACUUUAUGAUAUAAUACUAUUUUAUAAUUGGUGAGUGAUUUCCUGAAAUUCCCAUUGGGACAAAAGUAUUCACCAUAUAAAUUAGAAUUCUGAUUUUUCAAAAUAAUCCUUUAGAACAGUAUUAAAUAACCGUUUUGUUGGAUAUUCAAUGAUUCUCAAAAGAUUCAAUCAGACACAAAAGUAUGUCAUUAUUGACAUUGAACAAUAGAGUUCUCGAAAGAGGAAACAUGGUUAUUCAGGUAUUCGAUAGAGACCAAAAUGAUCAAUUAGUAAACUAAUGCCACUUUCCAAUUUUCUCUCAAAAGACAAUCAUCAUAAUCAGAAUUGAUGACCAAACAAAACAUUGGUUUAAGCAAAACAAACCAAUACAUCUUUAAAUCAAAAUUUAAUCAGUGUUGUCUAUAUAAAAUUCAUUAGUAUUGAGAAUUUGCAUAUAAUAAGGACAUAUCGGAACCAUAACCUUGUAUAAUAAUCGGUACCAAUAGAUGUGCACAAAUUAGUGAAACAAUAUCACAUAACAAAACUAGUUUUGAAGUACCAAAAUUCAGCAGUACUACUUUAGUUUGCAAAUUCACUAAAAACUCAAUUCUCUUUAGAUUGUCCUGAAAAUUUUCAAGUAUGAACUAGACAUAUAUGACUACUAUUUCGAAAAAUUUCAUGAUUUUUAAAAUCUUAUAAGUGAGCCAAAAAUGAAUUCGAAAAGAGAGGUGCUACAGCAUUAAUAUGUGUAUUUGAUAUAUCAAAAUCUCCUUUUUAAGAUAAGAAAACAAUUUAAAAAUGACACCAAAAUGGCCACGGCAUUAAUAUGUGUAUUUGAGAAAUUUCCCAAAAGCACUUGAGUCUCAACUUUGCAAUUUUAUGUUUGAAGAUAAAAGUCACAAAGGACAAACGUAGCAAACAUAAAUUGUAAUAUUAUAUAUAUUAUAUUAAACGAAGGAUAAAUUAGACUUAUUAAUCCAACAACUCAUAUUUGAUUUUAGAAAAGAAAGUCUCAACAUUAAUUGGUCCCAACCAUCAGUCAUAGAAGCAUAAGAGAAAAUCAAAAGUUACCAAAUUCUUAUUCCUGAAGAGGGAUGCUUCCAGGCAUAACGAUAGAUGGAAGCGUAAAUCAACUUAAUUAAUAUGUAUGGGAAAGUUAGUUUGCAAAGCAGUUGGACUUUAUAUUCAAAUUAGUUUAACUAAUCAACUAACACACCAAAGUGGCCAUACCAUUAUUCUUGUAAACCAUUACUCAAAAAUAUGCAGCAAACUGGAAUAAAUGAAAUUAAAUGCAAUUGAGGAAAAUCCUCAAAGCCUCAUUCUAGGCAUUAGGAAUGAAGGCCGAGAAAACAUAAAAUGUGAACAUGAUAUAAGAUCACAAUGGCUCACUCAAGUUAUCUCCUAAUGGCAAGUGAUUCACAUUGAAAAAUCUUCGAAAACAACCAAAAUUUUAAACCUGAUCAUUGACACGGUGCGCUAGGAGAAAGAAGCAUGCAAAAUAAUUAUUAACUUAAAAUGGGAUUCCAAAACAAGGAACCCUAACCACUGCCCAGGAGCAACACAAAUGCCAACCAAGCGGAUCAAAACCAAUCUUGAUAUUAAUCAUGUUAAAAAAAAAUAACAAUAGUUAAAUUAUUUAUAUGCAUAUGUGCCAAGCCUUCGAACUUUAAAUCCAAUGCAAAAUUAUAUAUAUAUAUAUAUAUAUUUGAGGUAUAGCCAUAUAUAAAGCAAUCAAAUUUGCUUCUUAAUUAAUCAUUAUCUCGACAUGGCUAAGAAAACUUAUCGUUAAGUUUUCCCAUGAAAGCCAAAACAAAACCUUUUUUUGAUAAUUACAUGAGAAUCAUGAAGUUAGAAAAGUAAUUAUAAAAAUACUCUAAAAUUAAGCGGAAGCCUCAGGAUCGAUAAGUAAAAGACCUUUAACUAAAACACAAACUAAUUGUGCCUUCAGUUUGUCAAAAAUUUGUUCAAACAGAUUACCUUUAAUCCGAACCCUCAAGCUUUGCAAAUUUCUUGGCAGAUUUGUAUCUACAGACAAAAUAAUACAACUACACGCAGAAGUAAUUUCUGCAAAUGGGUCAAAUUAAAAAUAAUAAUAAUAACAUCUAAAUAAUUAUUUGCAAAGCCAAUAUGAUAAUCAAUCCACAUAUUGAAUUAUCAGCAAUUAAAUCAAUGAAUCGUAUUAUUUGCAGAAGCUUUACACAUUGUAAAGGAUAAAAGUGAUGGCAUGAUACGUUACCAUUAUAUUCAAAACCAACCAUGAUCGAAAUUCUGAAUCUUAGACGAGUUGAGUGGCUCUGAUACCACAUGUAAGAUGUAAUAUGAAAAUCAACAAGUUACUAAGAUUACAGAUAUAACAAAUAUACUACAAUAAACCAAUCAAACAAUUAAAGGGAAAUAAACUUAUCUUCCAAAGCAGAGGAAGAAGACGCCAUGACUGCUAGGGUUUCACAGGUUGUCUUCUACUUCCAAUACUUCAAAAUGUCUCUCUACUGUGAAUAGGGUUUGGCGUGAUUGAGAGUACAAGUGUAUGGAAGCAGGGACUUAACCAUGGUAUUUAUAUCAUUAGGGUUUUCAUCACAUCCGACCUAUCAUUGGCUGUACCAAUCUACCCUAUCUCUCUAGUAUUUAAGUCCCACCAUGAUACGAUAUCUUUGUAAUAAAUCUAUCAGAUUUCCUCUAGGUUAAUUGCAAGGGAUAAGACUCCAUAAUCCUUAUUAGGUUAGGACUAUCGGAUCACUUUGGUUGCUAACCACUCGAUAGACUAUUGGCUUACAACAAAAAGAUCCAAUACAACAUUCAUUGUCAUUCACAGUCUUACAUUUUUCUGAUAGGGCAUGAACUUGCAAGGCAGACGAGCACAGGAGUCGACUCAUUGAGUUAAUGGCGGCACGAGUUAGAGAUUGUAGUGGGGAAGACGGAUGAAAUAGAAUUUGGGAGGAGCGGGGAAGACAGAUCGGCCGCCAGGGAGGGGCGCUGUCAUUGUGGGUUGUUGGCUCGACUGUCGAGAUUUCUAUUAUUUAGUUUUAUAUUUUAUUUAAUUGAUUUUCUUAAAAAUUAAAUCAGGUAGACUUUAGUGGGGCACGUGACAUCCUCCGAUUAGAUGGGUAAACAAAGUGUCUAUUGUCACAUACAAGUAUAUGGAUUAUGAUGAUCUCCCAUUCUCUUUCCAUUCCCUUCCAUCAUUCUUUUCAUAUUCUCUAUUUUGUCUUUCUCUUUCUAUAAAAAUAAUAAUAAUAAUAAUAUAAGAUGUUGAUGUGGCUUAACCGUGACCAUUCAAAUAAGAGGGGAGGGUAAAAAAAAGGGAGUAUUUUUGCUCAUCACCAUUUAGUGUGGUAUAUGCUCACCACUUUAUUUAUCACUAUUAGAUGAGUUUGAAUUUCGAAUUGGUGUAGUAGAUAGGUAUAAAUCUCGAAAUUCAAACUUAUCUAAUGGUGAUAAAUAAAGUGGUGAGCAUAAACCACACUAAAUGAUGGUGAGAAAAAAUGCAUUCUAAAAAAAAGAGGGGAGAGAAUCCUUCUCCCAAGUAUAUACCACCAAUGGUGCAAAGGAGAAAGGACAAUGUGAGGAAAGCUAAAAUUUUAAAUUAAAUUUACAAAUUAAAUAAUGUGUAACAAAAAAAAAAAUUAAUGUGCUUGAAACACAAAGUUGUACACCAUGUGUCUCUAACAAGUGGUGAGAUUCUUGUGUUGAAAAAAUAAUAACAUAAAACAUAAAAUUUCCCACCACUUAUAUAAUAACACGUGUACCACUUGCAUUACGGGCAUAAGGAAAAAUUGCUAGUGUCACCAAUAGGUGCACGUUAAUCAAUACUUACAUAAUAAUUUAAUCAUCAACUACAUCGUUUGGUUUAAAAAUUUAGUAUCCUUAACAUUAUCCAAAGAGAAAUGCUAAGAGACUCAAAGGGUGAGAUUCUGCAAUUUCACGGUUUGAUGUUGAUUUGCAUGUCAAUGUAUAAAACAAUGUUGAUCCAAUCACACACAAGUAUAUACCACCAACGGUACAACUAAGGAGAAGUUUCGAACGAUCCCGCUACAUCAGGACCCUUUUAGAGCAUGUUUACGUACACGUAAUGGGAAUCAAAACAUGAAAUUAUAUUCCGAUUACGGACCAUUUCUAUGUUUACUAAAUUUUAAGGAAUCAAAAAUAUAGUGGGACCCACACAAAGUUUGGAAUUCAAUUCCUCACUUUGGAGGAAUUGGAUCCCUUGAUAGUAAGUGGUAUUUGAGUUUCGGAAGAAUGAGGGAAUGGGGAAUCCAUUUUUCAUACCCAUAAUGCCCUCACAUAAUUGCUGAAAUUCCAAUGAUAAAACAAGCACAGGUGCCCAGCGCUAGUCUGUUUCCUUCUCCCUCACUACCGCCCCCUUCCUGUCUUCCCAAGGCCACAUACCCACCAUCAUCUUCUUAGACAACAACGACAGCCAUAAAACAAGAAUAAGCGAAAGCUGAAGAAGAACCCAUUUUAGUUUUUUUUUAUUUUAAACAAUGCUAAAAACCAAACUCCGGACAUUCAAUCAACAUGAAAUACCCCGUAAACUAAACUUCAAAGAAAUUACAUCACCACAACCAACACUUCCCAUAGGCCUCAAACCAACCGUGAAUUUCAAAUUGUUGAAAGAUGAUUGAGGCAGAGAUAGAGAGAACGGUUGGGUUGGGGUUUGGGUUAGUUUUUUAUUUUUAAUUUUAUAUCAAUUGACUUGAUUUCCUGUAAGUUUUUAUAAAAUAUUUAUUUAUAAUAAAAGACAUUCUAGUAAUCAUACAAAUUUUCAUUCCGAUCAAGUGAAUUAGUAAACAACUUACAUUCAAACAAGACCAUUUAUACUCUGAUUCCAGAUUUAAUGGAAAUCUGGAUUUCAAUUCUCCUCAAUUCAAUUCAAUUCCCCCUCAAUCCAAUUCUGUCUAUUUUGAUUAAGGAUUAAUAAACGAACCCUUAAUGUUGAACAAAAGUCAGUACUUUACAUUAAGCUAGAACUAAAAAGGCUACUCCUAGUAGAAGUGACAGAAUUAUUGUUGAGUACGUAGCAAAAUUAUUAAGCAUUUGAGCUAGAACUGUUCGUACAUUUUUUAUCUGGCCUGGUCGAGCAGUGGUACAGCUACAGAGUACUAAUUUAUAUGCCUAACGUUAUAAAACUACAAUAAUAUUUCUCAAUUAUUUUAUAAUUUAAUUUGUUGACACUUCUCAACUGAAUUAUGAAAGCACCGCCGCGAGCCCAGGGACAAGAUACCUCGAGUCCUGACGCAUUCAGGUAUUGUCGCAUAGAUAAUCAUAAGUAAAGUUCCACCAGAGAGAACCAAAUUUGACGAGUUCAGCGGCUUAUACUUUUAUGGGUAUUUGUAGUAUGAUUUUCUUAGAUUUAUUAUUUACAUUAAACGUAUUCGUUUAAAUUUUUUAGAUUAGUGACCGAUUAAAUAUUCAAAUUUCAACUCAAAUCAGAGAUAUAUGAGAACGAACAACUUUUUCUCAAACACCAUUUUUUGUUCUUUGGGAACCAAAAUACAUGGAAAAGUAAAGAUAGGAGCAGCUUCAUCGAUCAAAAUUAUCGAGCACAAACACACACACCAAUACCAUCGAACUACCCGGAAACCAGAACCAGAACAGACCAUGACCCUAAAACACAACCAGAAAACGUUAACACUAACAUCUCAAAGUCCCAAACCACCUAUAACACUAAUCUAACUCCUCCAGCUGCCGCCUUCAGCGCCACCACCUCCUCUGGAGUAGCGAGCACCGCCACCUUCACCGCCUCCAUAGCCACC